UUGAACGCUGGCGGCAGGCCUAACACAUGCAAGUCGAGCGGUAGCACAGAGAGCUUGCUCUCGGGUGACGAGCGGCGGACGGGUGAGUAAUGUCUGGGAAACUGCCUGAUGGAGGGGGAUAACUACUGGAAACGGUAGCUAAUACCGCAUAAUGUCGCAAGACCAAAGUGGGGGACCUUCGGGCCUCAUGCCAUCAGAUGUGCCCAGAUGGGAUUAGCUAGUAGGUGGGGUAACGGCUCACCUAGGCGACGAUCCCUAGCUGGUCUGAGAGGAUGACCAGCCACACUGGAACUGAGACACGGUCCAGACUCCUACGGGAGGCAGCAGUGGGGAAUAUUGCACAAUGGGCGCAAGCCUGAUGCAGCCAUGCCGCGUGUGUGAAGAAGGCCUUCGGGUUGUAAAGCACUUUCAGCGGGGAGGAAGGCGAUAAGGUUAAUAACCUUGUCGAUUGACGUUACCCGCAGAAGAAGCACCGGCUAACUCCGUGCCAGCAGCCGCGGUAAUACGGAGGGUGCAAGCGUUAAUCGGAAUUACUGGGCGUAAAGCGCACGCAGGCGGUCUGUCAAGUCGGAUGUGAAAUCCCCGGGCUCAACCUGGGAACUGCAUUCGAAACUGGCAGGCUAGAGUCUUGUAGAGGGGGGUAGAAUUCCAGGUGUAGCGGUGAAAUGCGUAGAGAUCUGGAGGAAUACCGGUGGCGAAGGCGGCCCCCUGGACAAAGACUGACGCUCAGGUGCGAAAGCGUGGGGAGCAAACAGGAUUAGAUACCCUGGUAGUCCACGCCGUAAACGAUGUCGAUUUGGAGGUUGUGCCCUUGAGGCGUGGCUUCCGGAGCUAACGCGUUAAAUCGACCGCCUGGGGAGUAAGGCCGCAAGGUUAAAACUCAAAUGAAUUGACGGGGGCCCGCACAAGCGGUGGAGCAUGUGGUUUAAUUCGAUGCAACGCGAAGAACCUUACCUGGUCUUGACAUCCACAGAACUUAGCAGAGAUGCUUUGGUGCCUUCGGGAACUGUGAGACAGGUGCUGCAUGGCUGUCGUCAGCUCGUGUUGUGAAAUGUUGGGUUAAGUCCCGCAACGAGCGCAACCCUUAUCCUUUGUUGCCAGCGGUUAGGCCGGGAACUCAAAGGAGACUGCCAGUGAUAAACUGGAGGAAGGUGGGGAUGACGUCAAGUCAUCAUGGCCCUUACGACCAGGGCUACACACGUGCUACAAUGGCAUAUACAAAGAGAAGCGACCUCGCGAGAGCAAGCGGACCUCAUAAAGUAUGUCGUAGUCCGGAUUGGAGUCUGCAACUCGACUCCAUGAAGUCGGAAUCGCUAGUAAUCGUAGAUCAGAAUGCUACGGUGAAUACGUUCCCGGGCCUUGUACACACCGCCCGUCACACCAUGGGAGUGGGUUGCAAAAGAAGUAGGUAGCUUAACCUUCGGGAGGGCGCUUACCACUUUGUGAUUCAUGACUGGGGUG
rnacentral:rRNA from 1 species